rnacentral:pre_miRNA from 1 species
UAUAUACUCCCUCCGUCCCAAAUUCUUGUCUUAGAUUUGUGUAGAUAUGAAUGUAUCUAGUUACAUUUUAGUAUUUAGAUACAUCCAUUUUUAAACAAACCUAAGACAAGAAUUUUGGGACGGAGGGAGUAUUAG